rnacentral:rRNA from 1 species
GGUUAAGUGACUAAGCGUACACGGUGGAUGCCUAGGCAGUCAGAGGCGAUGAAGGGCGUGCUAAUCUGCGAAAAGCGUCGGUAAGGUGAUAUGAACCGUUACAACCGGCGAUACCCGAAUGGGGAAACCCAGUGUGUUUCGACACACUAUCAUGUCAUGAAUACAUAGUGGCAUGAGGCGAACCGGGGGAACUGAAACAUCUAAGUACCCCGAGGAAAAGAAAUCAACCGAGAUUCCCCCAGUAGCGGCGAGCGAACGGGGAGGAGCCCAGAACCUGAAUCGGCUUGUGUGUUAGUGGAAGCGUCUGGAAAGUCGCGCAGCAAAGGGUGAUAGCCCCGUACACUAAAAUGCACAGGUCGUGAGUUCGAUGAGUAGGGCGGGACACGUGACAUCCUGUCUGAAUAUGGGGGGACCAUCCUCCAAGGCUAAAUACUCCUGACUGACCGAUAGUGAACCAGUACCGUGAGGGAAAGGCGAAAAGAACCCCGGCGAGGGGAGUGAAAUAGAACCUGAAACCGUGUACGUACAAGCAGUGGGAGCACCUUCGUGGUGUGACUGCGUACCUUUUGUAUAAUGGGUCAGCGACUUAUAUUUUGUAGCAAGGUUAACCGUAUAGGGGAGCCGUAGGGAAACCGAGUCUUAACUGGGCGAUUAGUUGCAAGGUAUAGACCCGAAACCCGGUGAUCUAGCCAUGGGCAGGUUGAAGGUUGGGUAACACUAACUGGAGGACCGAACCGACUAAUGUUGAAAAAUUAGCGGAUGACUUGUGGCUGGGGGUGAAAGGCCAAUCAAACCGGGAGAUAGCUGGUUCUCCCCGAAAGCUAUUUAGGUAGCGCCUCGUGAACUCAUCUUCGGGGGUAGAGCACUGUUUCGGCUAGGGGGCCAUCCCGGCUUACCAAACCGAUGCAAACUCCGAAUACCGAAGAAUGUUAUCACGGGAGACACACGGCGGGUGCUAACGUCCGUCGUGAAGAGGGAAACAACCCAGACCGCCAGCUAAGGUCCCAAAGUCAUGGUUAAGUGGGAAACGAUGUGGGAAGGCAUAGACAGCCAGGAUGUUGGCUUAGAAGCAGCCAUCAUUUAAAGAAAGCGUAAUAGCUCACUGGUCGAGUCGGCCUGCGCGGAAGAUGUAACGGGGCUAAACCAUGCACCGAAGCUGCGGCAGCGACGCUUAGGCGUUGUUGGGUAGGGGAGCGUUCUGUAAGCCGUUGAAGGUGGCCUGUGAGGGUUGCUGGAGGUAUCAGAAGUGCGAAUGCUGACAUAAGUAACGAUAAAGCGGGUGAAAAGCCCGCUCGCCGGAAGACCAAGGGUUCCUGUCCAACGUUAAUCGGGGCAGGGUGAGUCGACCCCUAAGGCGAGGCUGAAAAGCGUAGUCGAUGGGAAACAGGUUAAUAUUCCUGUACUUGGUGUUACUGCGAAGGGGGGACGGAGAAGGCUAGGCUAGCCGGGCGACGGUUGUCCCGGUUUAAGCGUGUAGGGGGUGUGACCUGGUAAAUCCGGUUACAU